AGCGAACGCUGGCGGCAGGCCUAACACAUGCAAGUCGAACGGACCCUUCGGGGUUAGUGGCGGACGGGUGAGUAACACGUGGGUACGUGCCUUUAGGUUCGGAAUAGCUCCUGGAAACGGGUGGUAAUGCCGAAUGUGCCCUUCGGGGGAAAGAUUUAUCGCCUUUAGAGCGGCCCGCGUCUGAUUAGCUAGUUGGUGAGGUAACGGCUCACCAAGGCGACGAUCAGUAGCUGGUCUGAGAGGAUGACCAGCCACACUGGGACUGAAACACGGCCCAGACUCCUACGGGAGGCAGCAGUGGGGAAUCUUGCGCAAUGGGCGAAAGCCUGACGCAGCCAUGCCGCGUGAAUGAUGAAGGUCUUAGGAUUGUAAAAUUCUUUCACCGGGGACGAUAAUGACGGUACCCGGAGAAGAAGCCCCGGCUAACUUCGUG
rnacentral:rRNA from 1 species